rnacentral:rRNA from 1 species
GAUAAACGCUGGCGGCGUGCAUAACACAUGCAAGUCGAACGAAGUGGCGAACGGGUGAGUAACACGUGAGUAACCUGCCUUACACAAGGGGAUAGCCUUUGGAAACGAAGAAUAAUACCCUAUAGUGUAAGAUGGACUUGCGUCUGAUUAGCUAGUUGGUGAGAUAAAAGCCCACCAAGGCGACGAUCAGUAGCCGGGUUGGGAGAGUGUACGGCAACAUGGGGACUGAGACAAGGCCCAAACUCAAGCGGAGGCAGCAUUGGUGAAUUGUGAACAAUGGGGGAAACCCUGAUGCAGCGACGCCGCGUGAUUUAGAAGGCCUUCGAGUUAUAAAAUUCUUUUUUAUGUGAUGCAGUACCAUAAGAAUAAGGUCCGGCUAAAUACGUGCCAGCAGCCGCGGUAAUUC